GUCCACGGGGUCGCAAAGAGUCGGACACGACUGAGUGACUUCACUUCACUCAACACUUGCUGCCCUGCAUUAAUAAUACACCGGUAGCCAACAAAAGCAUUUUCCCUUUGUCCAACUGGGGCCCCAAGACAACAUUUAAACGACCCGAAAUCACUCCCUCUGUAUGAAAGACUAACGGCCUCGGUUUCUUGGUCCAGGUGGACUCUGGGCACCUCUGCGGUUCUCCGACCAGGACCCCAGGCUUACACACACGCCUCGCCAACCCGUUCCUACCACACUGAAGCCCCUAGCCGGCAGCACGUAUACUUCAGCUUCUGCAACGAGAAUAAGGAUGCGACCCUGAAGGCAUUCGAAAAGAAAGGGUCACGAGGCCUCAGAGCCGGUCCGAGGAAUCCCAGGUCAGCGAGGCUGAAGCCGUGCAAGCGCCGGAAGAACCAGUUCCCUUGCCCCGACAGACCCGAGUCAUGUCACCCAGGGGCCGCGGCCCCGCUACUCCGGGGUCCUUCCCCUCCGCAGGUCGUGCCUCGGCCCAGCCCCGGGGCCGCGGUCCCGGGUCUGCAUGGACACGGCCCCACCACUUGAGCCAACGGCCCCCGGAAAAGCUAGACAGCCUUUCUAGGGCUUCAUGCGCGGCCUCAGCCGCCACAGGGUUGAAACUCACGCCUGAGGGGCCGGGGGAGAGACGGGAGCCAGCGGGAACCACGCGUUGGCCUUUACCUGGAAGAUGGCGGUUCCGGCCGAAAAGAAGGAGGCGGGGCCGCGCAUGCGCCUUUCAAGGGCCUGUGGGCUGCCCACGGCGCUGCCUGAAGAAACGCCGAUCGACAGCCAUUCUUUCCUGGGGAGUGAGGUCAUCGUCCCUGAGGACGAGGAGAGCCUGUGAGGAUAGUAUCCUUUCUUGCGAAAAAGAGGGCGAGUUUCAAAAGGAGCGGCUUCAUGUGAAAUUUGUGGGAAGGCUGCUAUUCAGAGUUUAA
rnacentral:lncRNA from 1 species